rnacentral:rRNA from 1 species
AUUGAACGCUGGCGGCAGGCCUAACACAUGCAAGUCGAACGAGUGGCGGACGGGUGAGUAACACGUGGGAAUCUACCAUUAGGUGGGGAAUAACAGGCCGAAAGGACUGCUAAUGCCGCAUACCUUUUGAUGAGCCCGCGUCCGAUUAGCUAGUUGGUAGGGUAAAAGCCUACCAAGGCGACGCUCGGUAGGUGGUCUGAGAGGAUGACCAGCCACACUGGAACUGAGACACGGUCCAGACCCCUACGGGAGGCAGCAGUGGGGAAUAUUGCACAAGGGGCGCAAGCCUGAUGCAGCCAUGCCGCGUGUAUGAAGAAGGCCUUCGGGUUGUAAAGUACUUUCAGCGGGGAGGCGUUACCCGCAGAAGAAGCACCGGCUAACUCCGUGCCAGCAGCCGCGGUAAUUC